ACCAAGAGUAGUAAUACUUUUGGGGUUUUGGACAGCGUACGGUAUUAACUGCGGUUAGUAGAAUGAAAUGGGAAGUUCAACCACAGAGCGUGAUAGUCGCGUACACGAAAACUAAAGUUAGCCAGCUGGAUCCAGAGUACCGCCGGACACGUGAAACCCGGUGGGAAGACGGGGGGACCACCCUCCAAGCCUAAAUACUCUCCAAUGACCGAUAGUGUAUAGUACUGUGAAGGAAAGGUGAAAAGAACCCCUGGCGGGGAGUGAAAUAGAACCUGAAACCUUGUGCCUACAAGCACAUAGAGCGCGUCAAUGCGUGAUAUGGUACCUUUUGUAGAAUGGUCCGGCGAGUGAAUGUCACUGGCAAGGUUAAGCUCUUCAGGAGUGCAGCCGAAGCGAAAGCGAGUCUGAAAUGGGCGUUUUAGUCAGUGGUAUUCGACCCGAAACCGGGUGACCUAGCCAUGAGCAGGCUGAAGUGGAGGUAAAACUCCAUGGAGGGCCGAACCCACUCCCGUUGAAAUGGUAGGGGAUGACUUGUGGCUAGCGGAGAAAUUCCAAUCGAACCCGGAGAUAGCUGGUUCUCUCCGAAAUAGCUUUAGGGCUAGCCUCAAUUAACAUUACCGCAGGUAAAGCACUGAAUGAGCUAGGGGGCGAAAGCUUACUGAACUCUAUCAAACUCAGAAUGGCGGAUAAUGAAUGAUUGGGAGUCACACUACGUGAGAUAAGUUUCGUGGUGGAAAGGGAAACAGCCCAGACCCACAGCUAAGGUCCCAAAGUACAGUUAAGUGGAAAAGGAUGUGAAAUUGCGCAGACAACCAGGAUGUUGGCUCAGAAGCAGCCACUCAUUCAAAGAGUGCGUAAUAGCUCACUGGUCGAGUGAUUUUGCGCCGAAAAUUUAACGGGGCUAAACUGUACACCGAAGCUUGGGAAUAUACCUCUGGUAUGUUGGUAGGAGAGCGUCGUAUGCGGGGUGAAGUCGUAGCGAAAGCGGCGGUGGACUGCAUAGGAGUGAGAAUGCCGGAAUGAGUAGCGAGAAUUAUGUGAGAAUCAUAAUGGCCGAAAGACUAAGGUUUUAGAAGGAAGGUUCGUCCGCUUCUAGUUAGCCGGGAGCUAAGGCGAGGCCGAAAGGCGUAGUCGAUGCACAUACGGUUGAGAUUCCGUAGCCACCUUAAAUUUAAACUAAGGGACACAUUGAAAGGGAAUAACCCAGGCGUUGGUUGACCUGGGCGUAAGGGAACGAAAAUAAGUAGUGAAGUAUUCUUGGACAGUGGCGAGAAAAGCUUAGUGUAUAUUAUUAGGGUGCCCGUACUGCAAACCGACACAGGUAGUCAGGAAGAGAAUUCUAAGGCCAUCGGGAGAAGCGUUGUUAAGGAACUCGGCAAAUUGACCCCGUAACUUCGGAAUAAGGGGUGCUCACGCGAGUGAGCCGCAGUGAAUAGGUCCAGGCAACUGUUUAUCAAAAACACAGCUCUCUGCUAAAUCGUAAGAUGACGUAUAGGGGGUGACACCUGCCCGGUGCUGGAAGGUUAAGAGGAGGGGUGCAAGCUCCGAAUUGAAGCCCCAGUAAACGGCGGCCGUAACUAUAACGGUCCUAAGGUAGCGAAAUUCCUUGUCGGGUAAGUUCCGACCCGCACGAAUGGUGUAAUGAUCUGGACACUGUCUCAACAACGCACCCGGCGAAAUUGUAGUACCGGUGAAGAUGCCGGUUACCCGCGGCAAGACGGAAAGACCCCAUGGAGCUUUACUGUAACUUAAUAUUGGGUCUCGGUACUUUAUGUACAGGAUAGGCGGGAGACUUGGAAACUAGCACGCCAGUGUUAGCGGAGUCAUCCUUGGGAUACCGCUCUUAAGGUAUUGAGAUUCUAACCUGCAGCCUUGAAUCAGGUUGGGGGACAUUGUUAGGUGGGCAGUUUGACUGGGGCGGUCGCCUCCAAAAGAGUAACGGAGGCGUUCAAAGGUUGGCUCAGCAUGGACGGAAACCAUGCUUUAGAGUAUAAACGCAUAAGCCAGCCUAACUGCGAGACUGACGGGUCGAGCAGUAACGAAAGUUGGAGUUAGUGAUCCGGCGGUAUGUGAGUGGAAAUGCCGUCGCUCAACGGAUAAAAGCUACCCUGGGGAUAACAGGCUGAUCUCCCC
rnacentral:rRNA from 1 species